rfam:Oryzias latipes DNA, chromosome13, strain: Hd-rR.
ACAACGGCUCUUUUCAGAGCCACACACAAAACCUUGAAGAUCUUGG